rnacentral:rRNA from 1 species
GACGAACGCUGGCGGCGUGCUUAACACAUGCAAGUCGAACGGAAAGGCCCUGCUUUUGUGGGGUGCUCGAGUGGCGAACGGGUGAGUAACACGUGAGUAACCUGCCCUUGACUUUGGGAUAACUUCAGGAAACUGGGGCUAAUACCGGAUAGGAGCUCCUGCUGCAUGGUGGGGGUUGGAAAGUUUCGGCGGUUGGGGAUGGACUCGCGGCUUAUCAGCUUGUUGGUGGGGUAGUGGCUUACCAAGGCUUUGACGGGUAGCCGGCCUGAGAGGGUGACCGGCCACGUUGGGACUGAGAUACGGCCGAGACUCCGACGGGAGGCAGCAGUGGGGAAUAUUGCACAAUGGGCGGAAGACUGAUGCAGCAACGCCGCGUGCGGGAUGACGGCCUUCGGGUUGUAAACCGCUUUCGCCUGUGACGAAGCGUGAGUGACGGUAAUGGGUAAAGAAGCACCGGCUAACUACGUG